rnacentral:rRNA from 1 species
UAGCUUGCUACUUUACCUAGCGGCGGACGGGUGAGUAAUGCUUAGGAAUCUGCCUAUUAGUGGGGGACAACAUCUCGAAAGGGAUGCUAAUACCGCAUACGUCCUACGGGAGAAAGCAGGGGACCUUCGGGCCUUGCGCUAAUAGAUGAGCCUAAGUCGGAUUAGCUAGUUGGUGGGGUAAAGGCCUACCAAGGCGACGAUCUGUAGCGGGUCUGAGAGGAUGAUCCGCCACACUGGGACUGAGACACGGCCCAGACUCCUACGGGAGGCAGCAGUGGGGAAUAUUGGACAAUGGGGGGAACCCUGAUCCAGCCAUGCCGCGUGUGUGAAGAAGGCCUUUUGGUUGUAAAGCACUUUAAGCGAGGAGGAGGCUACCGAGAUUAAUACUCUUGGAUAGUGGACGUUACUCGCAGAAUAAGCACCGGCUAACUCUGUGCCAGCAGCCGCGGUAAUACAGAGGGUGCAAGCGUUAAUCGGAUUUACUGGGCGUAAAGCGCGCGUAGGUGGCCAAUUAAGUCAAAUGUGAAAUCCCCGAGCUUAACUUGGGAAUUGCAUUCGAUACUGGUUGGCUAGAGUAUGGGAGAGGAUGGUAGAAUUCCAGGUGUAGCGGUGAAAUGCGUAGAGAUCUGGAGGAAUACCGAUGGCGAAGGCAGCCAUCUGGCCUAAUACUGACACUGAGGUGCGAAAGCAUGGGGAGCAAACAGGAUUAGAUACCCUGGUAGUCCAUGCCGUAAACGAUGUCUACUAGCCGUUGGGGCCUUUGAGGCUUUAGUGGCGCAGCUAACGCGAUAAGUAGACCGCCUGGGGAGUACGGUCGCAAGAACUAAAACUCAAAUGAAUUGACGGGGGGCCCGCACAAGCGGUGGAGCAUGUGGUUUAAUUCGAUGCAACGCGAAGAACCUUACCUGGUCUUGACAUAGUA